rnacentral:lncRNA from 1 species
UCCUGGGGAAACUUCCACCGAUUGACCCACAGUGGAAGUUAUGCCAAUGCAUACUCCAGGGCGGGGCUUGGUGACCUCUGGCUGAAUGUUUAGUUUUAACGUUCUUACUGCUUAAAGGAAACGCUUCCCUCGACUUCUGAGCUGAGCAGGGCAAGACAGGCCUGGGAACCUUCUAGAAGCUGCCCACCUGGAAUGAACCAGUCGACUCCCCUUCUUCCCUCUCUCCCCUUCCCUCCUGCUGUCAUCCAAGAGAUGGCCAAGAAGCACAAGUCAGCAUCAAGACACACAGCUGGAAAUGGGACUGCAGAGGUGACUGACCAUGUGGCCUAGGAGUCAGAAUCCUCAAAUGGGAAGGCCCUAACUGAGGGCAGAAACCCAGAUCUACCUCCUUUGAUGACGGGAUGUGUAGAAGACAUGAAAGACUAUUUAAUUUUCAGCUCUUCGGGUCAAGUUUGAAGUAGAAAGAACCUAACAAUCUGAAUGCGGUAUGAAGGCCCAGGCAAUUUGGGCAUAUUUUGAGGUCAACCAUUUACUCCCCCAAAUGUAUGGAUAAUAAUCUCAUGAUAUGGCUGGAUGUUUCUCUGUCUUUG